UCCCUGGUAGUAUAUCGGUUAGUACACGCGCCUGUCAUUAGAUAGUUCCAUCAUAAGAUUAUCUCGCGCGAAAGCUGGGUUCGAUUCCCAGCCAGGGAG